rnacentral:rRNA from 1 species
ACAGCAGCAGCCGCGGGAAUACGUAGGUGGCGAGCGUUGUCCGGAAUUAUUGGGCGUAAAGGGAGCGCAGGCGGGCGAGUAAGUCUUUCUUAAAAGUGCGGGGCUCAACCCCGUGAGGGGAUGGAAACUGUAAGCCUUGAGUGCAGGAGAGGAAAGCGGAAUUCCCAGUGUAGCGGUGAAAUGCGUAGAUAUUGGGAGGAACACCAGUGGCGAAGGCGGCUUUCUGGACUGUAACUGACGCUGAGGCCCGAAAGCCAGGGGAGCGAACGGGAUUAGAUACCCCCGUAGUCCCUGUCUCUUAUACA